GCAACGCCCGCGUUGAGUGAGAAUGUUUUUCGAAUCUGUAAUGCUUCUGUGUUAGGGAAAGAACAAGUCUCCGUUCGAAUUGGCCCGUCCCUUGACGGUACCCUACCAAGAAAGCCACUGAUAACUACGUGCCAGCCAGCCGAAGUAAUACGUAGCUGGCCAAGUGUUGUCAGGAAUUUUGGGCAGUAAGGGGCUCGCCCGCCGGUUCCAUUUAGUAUGAUGUGAAAGCCCCCCGGCUCAACCGGGGAGGGUCAUUGGAUACUGGGAACGUGAGUGCAGAAGAGGAGAGUGGAACUCCCACGUGUAGCGGUGAAAUGUGUAGAGAUGUGGAGGAACACCAGUGGAGAAGGGCGACUCUCUGGUCUGUAACUGACGCUGAGGAGCGAAAGCGUGGGGAGCGAACAGGAUUAGAUACCCUGGUAGUCCACGCCGUAAACGAUGAGUGCUAAGUGUUAGGGGGUCUCCGCCCCUUAGUGCUGCAGCUAACGCAUUAAGCACUCCGCCUGGGGAGUACGGUCGCAAGACUGAAACUCAAAGGAAUUGACGGGGGCCCGCACAAGCGGUGGAGCAUGUGGUUUAAUUCGAAGCAACGCGAAGAACCUUACCAGGUCUUGACAUCCUCUGACAAUCCUAGAGAUAGGACGUCCCCUUCGGGGGCAGAGUGACAGGUGGUGCAUGGUUGUCGUCAGCUCGUGUCGUGAGAUGUUGGGUUAAGUCCCGCAACGAGCGCAACCCUUGAUCUUAGUUGCCAGCAUUCAGUUGGGCACUCUAAGGUGACUGCCGGUGACAAACCGGAGGAAGGUGGGGAUGACGUCAAAUCAUCAUGCCCCUUAUGACCUGGGCUACACACGUGCUAC
rnacentral:rRNA from 1 species